UACGGAGGGGGCUAGCGUUAUUCGGAAUUACUGGGCGUAAAGCGUUCGUAGGCGGCUUUGUAAGUCAGCGGUGAAAGCCCACGACUCAAUCGUGGAACUGCAUUUGAGACUGCUACGCUUGAGGAUGGGAGAGGUUAGUGGAAUUCCGAGUGUAGAGGUGAAAUUCGUAGAUAUUCGGAAGAACACCAGUGGCGAAGGCGGCUAACUGGACCAUUCUUGACGCUGAGGAACGAAAGCGUGGGGAGCAAACAGG
rnacentral:rRNA from 1 species